GACGAACGCUGGCGGCGUGCUUAACACAUGCAAGUCGAACGGAAAGGCCCUGCUUUUGUGGGGUGCUCGAGUGGCGAACGGGUGAGUAACACGUGAGUAACCUGCCCUGGACUUUGGGAUAACUUCAGGAAACUGGGGCUAAUAACGGAUAGGAGCUCCUGCUGAAUGGUGGGGGUUGGAAAGUUUCGGCGGUUGGGGAUGGACUCGCGGCUUAUCAGCUUGUUGGUGGGGUAGUGGCUUACCAAGGCUUUGACGGGUAGCCGGCCUGAGAGGGUGACCGGCCACAUUGGGACUGAGAUACGGCCCAGACUCCUACGGGAGGCAGCAGUGGGGAAUAUUGCACAAUGGGCGGAAGCCUGAUGCAGCAACGCCGCGUGCGGGAUGACGGCCUUCGGGUUGUAAACCGCUUUCGCCUGUGACGAAGCGUGAGUGACGGUAAUGGGUAAAGAAGCACCGGCUAACUACGUG
rnacentral:rRNA from 1 species